UACGGGGGGGGCAAGCGUUGUUCGGAAUUACUGGGCGUAAAGGGCUCGUAGGCGGCCAACUAAGUCGGAUGUGAAAUCCCCAGGCUCAACUUGGGAACUGCAUCCGAUACUGGAUGGCUUGAAUUCGGGAGAGGGAUGCAGAAUUCCAGGUGUAGAGGUGAAAUUCGUAGAUAUGGGGAGGAACACCGGUGGCGAAGGCGGCCACCUGGACGGCAACUGACGCUGAGACGCGAAAGCGUGGGGAGCAAACAGG
rnacentral:rRNA from 1 species